CAGCCGCCACGGUAAUACGGAGGGUGCAAGCGUUAUCCGGAUUCACUGGGUUUAAAGGGUGCGUAGGCGGGCAGGUAAGUCAGUGGUGAAAUCUUCGAGCUUAACUCGGAAACUGCCGUUGAUACUAUCUGUCUUGAAUAACGUUGAGGUGAGCGGAAUAUGUCAUGUAGCGGUGAAAUGCUUAGAUAUGACAUAGAACACCGAUUGCGAAGGCAGCUCACUAAACGCUCAUUGACGCUGAGGCACGAAAGCGUGGGGAUCAAACAGGAUUAGAUACCCCCGUAGUCCCUGUCUCUUAUAC
rnacentral:rRNA from 1 species